rnacentral:rRNA from 1 species
UACGAAGGGGGCUAGCGUUGCUCGGAAUGACUGGGCGUAAAGGGCGCGUAGGCGGUUUGUACAGUCAGGUGUGAAAUUCCCGGGCUCAACCUGGGGGCUGCACUUGAUACGUAUAGACUUGAGUGAGGAAGAGGGUCGUGGAAUUCCCAGUGUAGAGGUGAAAUUCGUAGAUAUUGGGAAGAACACCGGUGGCGAAGGCGGCGACCUGGUCCUUGUACUGACGCUGAGGCGCGAAAGCGUGGGGA